GAUGAACGCUAGCGGCAGGCUUAAUACAUGCAAGUCGUGGGGCAGCAGGACUGUAGCAAUACAGUUGCUGGCGACCGGCAAACGGGUGCGGAACACGUACGCAAUCUACCCAGAAUUGGUGAAUAGCCCUCCGAAAGGAGGAUUAAUACACCGUAAUAUUAUAAAGUGGCAUCACUUAAUAAUUAAAGCUCCGGCGGUUUUGGAUGGGCGUGCGGCCCAUUAGGUAGUUGGUGGAGGUAAUGGCUCACCAAGCCGGCGAUGGGUAACUGGUGUGAGAGCACGACCAGUCACACGGGCACUGGGACACGGGCCCGACUCCUACGGGAGGCAGCAGUAAGGAAUAUUGGUCAAUGGACGCAAGUCUGAACCAGCCAUGCCGCGUGGAGGAUGAAGGCCCUCUGGGUUGUAAACUUCUUUUAUGGGGGACGAAAUCACUUAUUCUUAAGUGUCUGACGGUACCCCAGGAAUAAGCACCGGCUAACUCCGUGCCAGCCGCCGCGGUAA
rnacentral:rRNA from 1 species